rnacentral:rRNA from 1 species
UACGAAGGGUGCAACGUUGCUCGGAAUUAUUGGGCGUAAAGUGCACGUAGGCGGCGCUCUAAGUCGGAUGUGAAAUCCUUUGGCUCAACCAAAGAAGUGCAUUCGAAACUGGAGCGCUUGAGUACUUAAGAGGAUCGCGGAAUUCCCGGUGUAGUGGUGAAAUGCGUAGAGAUCGGGAGGAACACCUGUGGCGAAGGCGGCUCGCUGGGCCGGUCCUGACGCUGAGACGCGAAGGCGUGGGGAGCGAACGGG